rnacentral:tRNA from 1 species
GGGAACAUAGCUCAGCCUGGGAGAGCAAUACGCUGAAGACGUAUGUGUCGCGAGUUCAAAUCUCGCUGUUCCCA